rnacentral:tRNA from 2 species
GCCGGAGUGGCGGAAUUGGCAGACGCAGCGGAUUCAAAAUCCGCCGAGGUAACCCCUCGUACCGGUUCGACCCCGGUCCCCGGCACCA